AUUAUUUUUGUAGCUAAUUACUUCUUUUCAUCCACAUACAUAGAUUUUUUGAAGAAGAAGAAGAAGGUUGAAAGUUUACAGUCCCGUCAUCCAAUCUAAAAUCUACCCUUUCCAUAAAAUGACACGGCUCCUUCCCACCGCUGCGUGGGGCUGAGUAACUUUCAGCUCAAAAAUCCCAUGACAGUGCAGAACUGUCAGCCAAUAGGCUGGUGUCUUUUUGCGACACCUGCCGCUACAGAAACCAGGAUGAAUGAAUGAAGGAUUUCCAGCAACAACUCCUCUCCAGCAUUCUCAGCAGAUGACCUUCUUCUCUGCUUUACUGAUGAGCAAGGCUGUCUAAAGAUCCUUAGCUUAAUCUGAGGGUCCUUAACUUAAUCACAUCUGUGAAGUCAGCAGUACCAGACUAGAGAUGACUGCUAAGUCAUAUGCCACGGGAAUGAGCUCUGUACUGCGGAGUCCCUGAGACUCACUCCAACAUUGAAGGAAGUAAUUCUCCAGGCUUUGACAGUGGCAAAAUGAUUCAAAUGUGCAUUGAGCCCCAUAUUGAGAGGAGGUACUGGGGAUUCAACACGGGACAUCGUGCAUGCUAGGCACAGGCUUUACCACUGAGCUGCACUCUCCCCACCGGAUGUGGCUCGUCUUCACUGAGAUGCGAUGUAAGCUUGAAAUACACACCAGAUGUCAAAGACUUAGUAUGAAAAAGAAGAAUGUCAAUGAUUCCAUUAAUUGUUGAUUAUGAUUAUAGAUUAAGAUGAUGAAUAUACUGGGUUAAAUAAAACCUAUGAUUAAAA